rnacentral:rRNA from 1 species
GAUGAACGCUGGCGACAGGCUUAACACAUGCAAGUCGAGGGGAAACGACGGGGAAGCUUGCUUCCCCGGGCGUCGACCGGCGCACGGGUGAGUAACGCGUAUCCAACCUGCCUCUGACUGAGGGAUAACCCGUCGAAAGUCAGCCUAAAACCCCAUGGUAGCGUCUGCGGGCAUCUAACGAAAAUGAAAGAUUUCGUCGGUCAGGGUUGGGGUGACGUCUGAUUAGCUUGUUGGCGGGGUAACGGCCCACCAAGGCUACGAUCAGUAGGGGUUCUGAGAGGAAGGUCCCCCACAUUGGAACUGAGACACGGGCCAAACCCCUACGGGAGGCAGCAGUGAGGAAUAUUGGGCAAUGGGCGAGAGCCUGAACCCGCCAAGUCGCGUGCAGGAAGACGGCCCUAUGGGUUGUAAACUGCUUUUAUGCGGUGAUAAAGUGAGGGACGUGUCCCUCAUUGAAGGUACCGCAUGAAUAAGGACCGGCUAAUUCCGUG